rnacentral:rRNA from 1 species
AAUAGAUACCCUGGUAGUCCACGCUGUAAACGAUGAAUGCUAGGUGUUGGCGCGAGAGCGUCGGUGCCGCAGUUAACACAAUAAGCAUUCCACCUGGGGGAGUACGAUCGCAAGAUUGAAACUCAAAGGAAUUGACGGGGGCCCGCACAAGCGGUGGAGUACGUGGUUUAAUUCGAAGCAACGCGAAGAACCUUACCAAGACUUGACAUCCCUUUGAAUAAGCAUGUAAUGUGCUUAGCCUUUCGGGGUAAAGGUGACAGGUGGUGCAUGGUUGUCGUCAGCUCGUGUCGUGAGAUGUUGGGUUAAGUCCCGCAACGAGCGCAACCCUUAUCCUAAGUAGCUAGCAGUUUAAGCUGAGCACUCUGAGGAGACUGCCGGGGAUAACUCGGAGGAAGGUGGGGAUGACGUCAAAUCAUCAUGCCCCUUAUGUUUUGGGCUACACACGUACUACAAUGGCUGCUACAGACAGAAGCGAAACCGCGAGGUGAAGCAAAGCUGAAAAAGGCAGUCCCAGUUCGGAUUGU